rnacentral:rRNA from 1 species
UACAGAGGGUGCAAGCGUUGUUCGGAAUUACUGGGUGUAAAGGGUUCGUAGGCGGUGUGGCAAGUCGGGAGUGAAAUCUCUGGGCUCAACCCAGAGUCUGCUUCCGAAACUGCUGUGCUUGAGUGUGGGAGAGGCGCGUGGAAUUGCAGGUGUAGCGGUGAAAUGCGUAGAUAUCUGCAGGAACACCCGUGGCGAAAGCGGCGCGCUGGACCACUACUGACGCUGAGGAACGAAAGCUAGGGGAG